UUUCCACUCUAAGUAAUAUUCAAGGGAAUAAAAAUAGU
rnacentral:sRNA from 1 species